CUUGAGUAUUGUGGUGUAAUAUAAAAACAGAAGCAUGGUAUUUUUUUACACCCAAAAACAUGACUUGUAAAACUCUUUUUAGUUUUGCGAGGGCCAAAACGGCUAGAUCAGACGCAAUACUGCAUGAGAGCAAUGCCGGUUUGAUUUGUUGAUGUUUUAGGCUUUUAUUUAUUUAGUUUCAGUUAGCGGUGUGAAACUGUCUGGUGUUAUGCGUUCAGACUGAAUCGGGUCCUCAGGAAGCGUUUGAGCUGCGGCGUCUCUCCGAGAGCAGAAGCACACCAGGUGUCCCUGCAAUUAGCUGCUGUGAGAUUGAUGAGAUCUGGCUGGGCUGAUGGAAUCACUCUUAUUACAUUACAUCUGGACCGAUGUCCAUUUAUUUAUGAAGCACCGGCGGAGCAGGUGACUGCGCCGUGAUGGAAAUGAUGAGGUUUAUGGUAGCGUGGCCCUCGUUUGAACUGUGACAGUGCUCUGUGGGCUUGUGCUGCAUUCCCAGGCUGCGUGUUGCUGACGGCGCUCCUGAUGCUGCUGCGUUCUUCUCCAGGAGGAUUAGACACUUCCUGAAUUACAUGUUGUCGGCCAUGAGAAGGGUUGUUUGCAUCUGAAUACUCUCAUGUUCAGAACGAGCAAUAAGAUGGGAGACUUUAUCAGAACUGCCCACUAAUUAACAGAAAUCACAAUAACUAUUGCAUAGAGGGAUCUCGUUAAAUCGAAAAGCAGAGUGAUCAGGGUGGCAAAGUGCUAAUUAAGCUUUGAAUUGGGGGAGGGGGGGCUGCAUCAACAGAGCACAGGGAUGAUCCUCCACUGUCUGUUUACAUCGCUGCAGUGCAUUCUGGGAAGUCACCCCACAACCUGGGGCAGGCGUACUGUUCUGCUGCUCCGGGGAAAAAAAAGUGUGUAAGACAGAUAAAACCAGCACAAGUAAAUCCCUUCGGCUCUGUGUUUACGGACACAGACGGCUUUAUCUGCACUAAUGCCAUCAACAUUUAAAGCAGGAAACUUUAUUUCCAAGAACUAAACCUUUUCACACAAUAUGUGAAGGCUGAGAGAUUUGAGAAGAAUAAGAGAACAAUUGACUGAAACAAAAAGAAAUGUAUGAGAAGGUGGAGGGGCAGAGGAUCAGACAGACGGGAGGAACCAAGACUCAUUUACACAGAUGAACAUGUGGACGAAAGUCAGGUGGUUCCAGGUGCACCUGUCGUAGGCCUACUCUUCCUCCAGGCUGGGAACAUUGCCCCCUUGUAGUGCCUGAACUUCGGCUGAGUCGGGUGGCAGCCUCCCAUUUGUUAAAUGCUACAUGAGGUGACUGGAGCUUCUCUGCCCGUCGCUGAGAGGACAGAUGGAGAGGGCACGGAAUGUUCUGGAGAGCCGAUGGUAAUUACAAGCCAGUAGCAGAGCCGAUGGCUUCCGCAGGGAACAGGCCUGAGCGGAAGCGCUCGAGUGGCGUGGGGGGUUGUUUGCCCUUUGGCUGCUCAGCAUGCUGUUGCUCUGCGCGGUGAGCUCGUGUUGGGACUGCCGUCACUGCACAUUUCUCCGCUCUUCAUGUCAGGUGAGGUGUGUGUGGGAACAUGGUGACAUUUGUGAGCUUUUGUCAUUCACAAGGAGUUUAACUCUUCAGAUGUGUUUCCAGUUCUAUUCGUUUCAGUAGAUAACUGAUGGAAGUCGCAGAUGUGUACAAAAGAAUUUUAUGGAUCAGUCCACCCAAAAAUAAAAUAAUUAUCAUCAUUUACUCAUGUCGUGAUCAAAAGUGAUAUUUACAGUGAGUUUUCUUCAUACAUCAUAUCUCUCAUUUUAUAUUCUCUGACACUUGUCUCCUUGGUAACCAAGUACACUAACUUUUAAAAACUUACAGUAUUUAAUGACAUUAUUGUUGUUUGUGUACACCAAUUGUAUAUAAAUCAUAAAUUUGUUGAUUAUUUUUAUUUCACUUUUUUUCCACUCAAUUCUGAUACUUAAUUCUGAUUUUUUUUUAUGGAUUUAUUAUAGUUUAAUAUAAGGCUACAACAAUAAAAUCACAUUUAAUCAUUUAAUAAUAUUUCUAUUCAUUGGAUUUUAUAAUUCAUAAUUGUAACCUUGUACUUCACAACUGCAACCUUUUUCACGUCAUAUAUUAAGCUUUCUCACAAUAACUAAUAUUUCUUAAAAUUGUGACUUUAUAUCUCAUAACUCUGUCUUUUUCCCAUAUUUUAAAAGUUUUAUAUUUCAUUUCUUUUAAUAAUAUAAAAUAGAUUUGAAAUGUAGCAACAAUGAAUGAGGGCAUACUAAAAUAUUUCAGUGCCUUGUAAACUUUUUAUCAUGAAUCCAUCAUUACUACCCAUGUAUACAUUUUUAUUUGUCAGUUUUAUUAUUUUACCCUUGUCCCUGACUUUCAGUCUUAACUAUAACAAGCCAUUAUAAAAAUAUGAAUUAAUAAAUAUUUAAAACUAUGAUGUGAACAAAGAGUUAAAUAAAAAUAAUCCAUUUUGAUGUUUAUUGUGUAAAAAUUACUUUAUGAUUUUUUUUUUACACAAAUUAUGACUGUACCUCAUUUGUGGUGCCCACAAACAAGUUAUUUUGUAGUUACUGUACUUGGUUACAAUAGAGACAAAAUUGUUUCAAUGUAACCUUUAUAAAAAGGGGGCAUUAAAUCUGUUAGUUUUAAUAAAACCAAACCUUAAGAUAUAAAAAGUGCAAGAAGUUGGAGAAACACCCUUAUAUCUUUUCACAUCUGAUCAGUCAUCUGCUCAACAUCUCAAGAGCGUCCUGUCUGCAGGUGAUUAAUUACUUUGUCAGCCGUCAGUCUCAGAAAAUGAGAGGUGAGGGGGAAAAAAGAAGAAAAGGGAGGAGUAUGAGGGAAAGUGAGCGGGCACAGCUUUGCAGGAUGCUGAAAUGUAGCUCUGCAAUCCCCAUAGGGCUCAUAUUAAUGAGGGUGCAGAGAAAGUUAACAACUCACAUUAAGCACUAAUGCAUUCUUUAAUUAAUUAAGUGCUCAUUUAUAAAUAUCCAACACAUCCUGUACACGUUCAAUCUGACUUAACAAUAACAUAUUAACGAUUCCUGUUCCAGGCAUAACAUAUUUAAAUGUCAUUGAUACUCCAACAGCUAGAUAAACAUACUCUGAAACUCUAUUAACAGCAUUAGGUGAUGUCUGGAGCAGCACGAAUUCCCCUGCAAUUCUCUCAUAAUUACAAAUUAAUUUCACAUUUAAUGUAUGAACACAGCCAUGGUGAAAUUUAGUUAAUUAGUUGAUUAAAAUGCAUAGUUCAAAGUAAAAACUGAGCAAUUUUGAGCCAUUUAGUGAAUCAUUUUGUAGUUAUUGGACAGCUUUAACACUCUUCCUUUUCAUUAUUUUAUAAGCAGGUUCUUAGACCUGGAUGAUGCAGUUAAGACUCAAAUGUGUGCAAUACUAUAGAAAAUGCCUUUAUUAUCAUUACUGUUUGAUAAAGCGGCCACAUUCAGCUCAGACAGAACUGCCAGCGCAAAUGUAAGUAACCUAUCACACACACACACACACACACACACACACACUGAGCUUUGAGGUGAGUGUUAAUCUCUGAGGUGUGUUAGGAAAGCACAGAAGGAAGGAGAUAUCAAAUAAAGCUCAUGUAAAAAUAUUCUAGAGAAAUGAUUUACUAAAAAGCAUCCUAGUAAAAUUUAGAUAAGUAAAAACUCCAUGUGCCAUUCCAGUUUUAGCCCAAUACGAUGGGUUUCAUGAGAAGGAUAACAUGAUAAAGACGUGUUUGAACAUAUAAUCUCUGAGGAAAGAUUCCUCUGGGUUAAAUUCAAAAGAAUCACUUUAUGCACAUCGUUUUUCUCAGCAAAAGCAGGAAUACAUCUCUCACAUAGCUCUCUCAUACCUUAAUACUGAGACAAAGAAACACAUACAAGCUGCUAAAAAUAAACUGGCAUGCAUAGUCAGAAUGUUGACAAUAAAACCAAAAAAACACCCCUCAGGAUGUUAACAAUCCCGACACUCGAAAAUAAAAGCAACCCUGUUAAUAAAACGCUUCGUUUCCAGACAAAAUGCUUAACAGCCGUCUCUCAGAGUCGGUUUCAACAUGUUUGAAAUCAAUCAGAAUAUUUAAACCCGUGGAAGCAGACAAUCUGUGUAGAGCUGCGCACCUCCUCAUUGGAGAGGAACUUCACUUUUGGCACAGUGUGUUUCAUUUUUCAUGAAGCUGCACCUCCUUGUUCCCUGCAGGCGUCUCCUCGGUGUUCUUGCUGAAUGUGUGUGUGCUGAACAAAAGCCUUGGUUGUUUACGUCAAGGUAUCUCCUUGCGGUUGGGUGAUGAAGAGCAGGUGGCCUCAUUUGCAGAGAGCACUUCCUCAGAAGCAGCACCUUCACUGCCUCCUCUUCCUCCACGUGGCUGUCGGGCAGGCGAGGGCGAUUGCGUUCCCCUCCCGCGCCGUGCCGCCUGUCCGCCUGUGGGACCUGCUCCGUGGGCUUUUCAUCAGCUGCCAUUUUCACCAGCAUGCAGUAAUUUCAUGGCUCAUUGCAAGCGCUGAAAACCUUUGAAACUGCAAAUGUUAACUUUUGCCUGGCCCGGAGCCAUUUAGAAAGCGAUUAAUUCGGCAAACAGACGUGAGCCACUUUCUCCUCCCAAGUUUUCGCAUAAUUUUCCAACCCUUUCUAUCUGGGAUUUGCAUUGCAGGGAACUCGCAGGACAAGGAUAAUAACCAUUCCUGUUAAUUGUGGUUUGGUGAAGAAACAAGGCCUGUCGCUCUGCAGUCUGAUCUACCCGGCUGUCCCAAUCCAGUCCAAACAGGGAGAAUGAACAGAGAAUCGGAUCGAGAAUCAGAGAAAACUGUGUACAAGACUCUUUGAAGGGAGUGGAUAGGACGAAAUGCUGUUGAGGGACUGACAUUGAGAAACAUUUCUGGAUGGCAUGAAGGUUGAUGUGGCUGGCCUCCAAAAUCAUCGUGCCUGAGACCACACAGAUGGGGAUGAGAUAAAACUUCUUGAAAGACUCCAUUCCCUGUUGUUCUCUCACAUCAAAAUCCAGCGAUAUAUUUGUGUUGCGCAGAGAAGAAAGACAUGGAGAAGAAACCACAACCAAACUUCAUCAGUUCUCGCAUAUAUCGCCAACAUGCCAGCUCAAGACAGCAAAACACAAACCGAAGACGAGCUUCAAAAUGGAGGGACUGAAAAGAGGAAAGGAUGAGUGCAGAGAAAACAAAGAAACGGAGGAAGAAGGGAAGAAAAAGGCAGAGAGAAGAAGAUGGACAUGAAUGCAUGGCCUUGAUGCUCGUCCACUCCUCCAGCUGUCUAACAGCGCCCACACACACACACAGUCACAGUCACCUCCUCUGGAUAGCAGCCAGUCCCAUAAUGCCAGUUGGUGUGGCAUCAUACAGCAGAAAAUCAGCCUUGCGACUUCAAGAGCCGCCGUCGAUGCUGAUGCUGAAGUUCAGACGGCAGUAAAUCAUAUUUAAAUGUGCUGGAGGCAGACGUGGAUAUAUUUAGCUGCACACACAACUCGUUUACAGUGAUUUUGAAAUGUGCAAAGCAAAAAUAUGCCAUUGUUA
ensembl:lncRNA